rnacentral:rRNA from 1 species
CCUUCCGGUGAGCAUACGAGCUUAAACGGACGCGGUAAAUCGUGCUAAGGUAGCUAAAUUAUGGCCUAUUAAUUGUAGGUCUUGUGAAUGGUUUGACGAGUUCCCGACUGUCUCUAGUUUGUUGAGGAGAACUUGAAUUGAAAGUGCAAAUGCUUUUAUGGGUUAGAAAGACGAGAAGACCCCGUGAAGUUAAGAAAUUUCUAUUAUAGCGUUAAUUUCCUGUAGUUAACGAGUAUUGUUUAAGCAUUCUGGGGUUUUGAGGAAAAAAUAGUGAUUUUCAUGGCUAUUUUCCUCACUUUCUUGGAAGGAGCUUAAUAAGUUUGAAAGUAUAGUUUUGAUAAGUUUUGGCUGGGGCAGCAAAGAGGCAAAUUUAGACCUUUUUUUUCUUUUAGACAGGUGUGUUACGACCCACAGUUUAUAAAAGUGUGAUUAACAGAAGGAGUUACUCCGGGGAUAACAGCGUUAUCCGUCCUGAUAGUUCUUAUUGACGGGCGGGUUUGCGACCUCGAUGU